UGUCUGAUAUCAGUGUAUGGAUCACCUGAUGCUGUUCCUACACUAAAUUACUCUGUACCACUGGAAGGUGUGGCUCAUCCUGCUACAAUAUAUAUUCAUACAUCACUGAGGACAACAAAUUCUACUACCUCCUCCUCCUCUUCUAAUACAAUUACUGAAGCUACUGCACCAUCCACUGGAGGAGCUAGUAUAUCAGCUACUGUUGAUGUCAAUAAAGUAAAGAAAGUGAUCAAUGAUGUUCUUGUAUCUCAUUACGCUGAUCUUACUUCACUAUCAAAGGAAGCUGUCCCUGAUCUUGCCAAUCAAUUAUUUGCUCUUCGUUUGGUCAAUAAUGCUGUCAGAGGAAAUCCUUCAAUAGACAAGUGUAUCGAUGAGUUCAAGGCUAGUCUUAAGUCUAAGAGGAAGUUACCUCAAGUGCAGGAGCACUGUCAAAAGUUCUUAAGCUCAUUUAUUGCUGUAAGAGGCAGUUAUGCUGAUACAGCAAUAGCCUUAGGUGAGGACUGGAUUGAAGCUAUUAGAAAUGAACUGGGAUUUGAUUUUAAUAUUAAUCUUGAUGCUUAAUUGCUGCUUUAGUU